CCUACGGGGGGCAGCAGUGGGGGAUAUUGCACAAUGGGGGCAACCCUGAUGCAGCGACGCCGCGUGAGCGAUGGAGUACUUCGGUGUGUAAAGCUCUGUCAGCAGGGAAGAGAAUGACGGUACCUGACCAAGAAGCCCCGGCUAACUACGUGCCAGCAGCCGCGGUAAUACGUAGGGGGCAAGCGUUAUCCGGAUUUACUGGGUGUAAAGGGAGCGUAGACGGCCAGACAAGUCUGAAGUGAAAAUCCAGCGCUUAACGUUGGAAGUGCUUUGGAAACUGCCGGGCUAGAGUGCAGGAGGGGCAG
rnacentral:rRNA from 1 species